rnacentral:rRNA from 1 species
GACGAACGCUGGCGGCGUGCCUAAUACAUGCAAGUCGAGCGGAGUUGAAAAGCUUGCUUUUCAACUUAGCGGCGGACGGGUGAGUAACACGUGGGGAACCUGCCUUUAAGACUGGGAUAACUUCGGGAAACCGAGGCUAAUACCGGAUAACAUCUUUUAACACAUGUUAGAAGAUUAAAAGACGGCGCAAGCUGUCACUUAGAGAUGGCCCCGCGGCGCAUUAGCUAGUUGGUGAGGUAACGGCUCACCAAGGCAACGAUGCGUAGCCGACCUGAGAGGGUGAUCGGCCACACUGGGACUGAGACACGGCCCAGACUCCUACGGGAGGCAGCAGUAGGGAAUCUUCCGCAAUGGACGAAAGUCUGACGGAGCAACGCCGCGUGAGUGAUGAAGGUUUUCGGAUCGUAAAACUCUGUUGUUAGGGAAGAACAAGUAGCAUAGUAACUGAUGUUACCUUGACGGUACCUAACCAGAAAGCCACGGCUAACUACGUGCCAGCCGCCGCAGUAAAAC